CAGAGUAGGAGACCUCGCGUAAAGUGCUGCCAGAAUGGGGAGUUGUAUGGCGGACGAAGGGCUAAGGCCCGCGAUGGGAUCUCCGCACCCGCUGC
rnacentral:ncRNA from 1 species